rnacentral:rRNA from 1 species
UCUGAAUGUUAGUGAUGUCUGAGUACUAUAUAAUAGUUAAAACUUUCAACAACGGAUCUCUUGGUUCUGGCAUCGAUGAAGAACGCAGCGAAAUGCGAUAAGUAAUGUGAAUUGCAGAAUUCAGUGAAUCAUCGAAUCUUUGAACGCACAUUGCGCCCGGUGGUAUUCCGCCGGGCAUGCCUGUUCGAGCGUCAUUAUAACCAAUCAUGCCUGGCAUGGUGUUGGGGCACGCGGUCUCGCGGCCCUCAAAAUCAGUGGCGGUGCCGGUAGGCUCUAAGCGUAGUAAUUCUUCUCGCUACAGGGUCCUGCGGGUGGCUUGCCAGAACCCCCCAUUUUUUCAGGUUGACCUCGGAUCAGGUAGGGAUACCCGCUGAACUUAAGCAUAUCAAUAAGCGGAGGAAAAGAAACCAACAGGGAUUACCUCAGUAACGGCGAGUGAAGCGGUAACAGCUCAAAUUUGAAAGCUCCCCACAGGGCGCAUUGUAAUUUGUAGAGGAUGCUUUGGGGGUCGGCCCGGUUUAAGUUCCUUGGAACAGGACGUCAUAGAGGGUGAGAAUCCCGUAUGUGACCGGUGCUAGCCUUCGUGUAAAGCUCCUUCGACGAGUCGAGUUGUUUGGGAAUGCAGCUCAAAAUGGGUGGUAUAUUUCAUCUAAAGCUAAAUAUUGGCCAGAGACCGAUAGCGCACAAGUAGAGUGAUCGAAAGAUGAAAAGCACUUUGGAAAGAGAGUUAAACAGUACGUGAAAUUGUUGAAAGGGAAGCGCUUGCAAUCAGACUUGCGGGCGGUCGAUCAUCCGAGCUUCUGCCCGGUGCACUCGAUCGU